rfam:Oryza barthii chromosome 4, whole genome shotgun sequence.
AAAAAAACAAACCCUAAGUUUUCGUGUCUAACUUUAACUUUGACUGUCCGUCUUAUAUGAAAUUUUUUUAUAAUUCGUAUUUUUAUUGUUGUUAGAUGAUAAAAUAUGAUUAAUAUUUUAUGCGUGACUUGUCUUUUUAAUUUUUUUCAUAAUUUUUUUAAAUAAGACGGACAUUCAAACGUUGGGCACGGAAAUUAGGGUUUGUCUUUUU